UGAGGUGUGGCUCCAUACAAAAAGAGCAGCAGGUGACAGUCGCAUCUGUGGAUCAGCUCACCAACACACAGGGAUCUGUGUGGAGUUUGAAGUUUGGAAAUGGAUAGAUGCGAAGAAAAUGGACACGGCCACGGCCACGGCCACGGCCACGGACACGGACACGGCCACGGCCA